rnacentral:rRNA from 1 species
AAAGAGUCCCUCCCGACUGUUCACCAAAAACACAGCACUUUGCCAACUCGUAAGAGGAAGUAUAAGGUGUGACGCCUGCCCGGUGCUCGAAGGUUAAGAGGAUGCGUCAGUCGCAAGAUGAAGCGUUGAAUUGAAGCCCGAGUAAACGGCGGCCGUAACUAUAACGGUCCUAAGGUAGCGAAAUUCCUUGUCGGUUAAAUACCGACCUGCAUGAAUGGCGUAACGAGAUGGGAGCUGUCUCAACCAGAGAUUCAGUGAAAUUGUAGUGGAGGUGAAAAUUCCUCCUACCCGCGGCAAGACGGAAAGACCCCGUGGACCUUUACUACAACUUAGCACUGCUAAUGGGAAUAUCAUGCGCAGGAUAGGUGGGAGGCUUUGAAGUAAGGGCUUUGGCUCUUAUGGAGCCAUCCUUGAGAUACCACCCUUGAUGUUUCUGUUAGCUAACUGGCCUGUGUUAUCCACAGGCAGGACAAUGC